rnacentral:rRNA from 1 species
CUACGGGGGGCUGCAGUGGGGAAUAUUGCACAAUGGGCGCAAGCCUGAUGCAGCCAUGCCGCGUGUGUGAAGAAGGCCUUCGGGUUGUAAAGUACUUUCAGCGGGGAGGAAGGGAGUAAAGUCAAUACCUUUGCUCAUUGACGUUACCCGCAGAAGAAGCACCGGCUAACUCCGUGCCAGCAGCCGCGGUAAUACGGAGGGUGCAAGCGUUAAUCGGAAUUACUGGGCGUAAAGCGCACGCAGGCGGUUUGUUAAGUCAGAUGUGAAAUCCCCGGGCUCAACCUGGGAACUGCAUCUGAUACUGGCAAGCUUGAGUCUCGUAGAGGGGGGUAGAAUUCCAGGUGUAGCGGUGAAAUGCGUAGAGAUCUGGAGGAAUACCGGUGGCGAAGGCGGCCCCCUGGACGAAGACUGACGCUCAGGUGCGAAAGCGUGGGGAGCAAACAGGAUUAGAUACCCGAGUAGUC